UUCGGUUCGGCUCGUCUUGAAUGCAUUAGCUGACGAUUUCGACUUCAGUUAAACCGUGUGAUAAUACAUCAACGCGGGCAGCCGUCAAAAGCGCUGGGUCGUCAUUCGAAGGCUUCUAACCGUCCCUUUGCGGACCGCCUUUACUGGUGUUUCAUUUCACAUCUGGCCUCGAAUCAGGUAGGACUACCCGCUGAACUUAA
rnacentral:misc_RNA from 1 species